rnacentral:rRNA from 1 species
GCAUAUCAAUAAGCGGAGGAAAAGAAACUAACAAGGAUUCCCCUAGUAGCGGCGAGCGAAGCGGGAAAAGCUCAAAUUUGUAAUCUGGCGUCUACGACGUCCGAGUUGUAAUCUCGAGAAGUGUUUUCCGUGAUAGACCGCAUACAAGUCUCUUGGAACAGAGCGUCAUAGUGGUGAGAACCCAGUACACGAUGCGGAUGCCUAUUACUUUGUGAUACACUUUCGAAGAGUCGAGUUGUUUGGGAAUGCAGCUCAAAUUGGGUGGUAAAUUCCAUCUAAAGCUAAAUAUUGGCGAGAGACCGAUAGCGAACAAGUACCGUGAGGGAAAGAUGAAAAGCACUUUGGAAAGAGAGUUAACAGUACGUGAAAUUGUUGGAAGGGAAACACAUGCAGCCAGACUUGCUAUUCGGGGCAACUCGAUUGGCAGGCCCGCAUCAGUUUUUCGGGGCGGAAAAGCAUAGAGAGAAGGUAGCAAUUUCGGUUGUGUUAUAGCUCUUUAUUGGAUUCGCCCUGGGGGACUGAGGAACGCAGCGUGCUUUUAGCAUAAGCUUCGGCUUAUCCACGCUUAGGAUGCGGGUGUAAUGGCUGUAUAUGACCCGUCUUGAAACACGGACCAAGGAGUCUAACAUGCUUGCGAGUAUUUGGGUGUCAAACCCGGAUGCGCAAUGAAAGUGAAUGGAGGUGGGAAGCGCAAGCUGCACCAUCGACCGAUCUGGAUCUUUUGAGAUGGAUUUGAGUAAGAGCAAGUAUGUUGGGACCCGAAAGAUGGUGAACUAUGCCUGAAUAGGGCGAAGCCAGAGGAAACUCUGGUGGAGGCUCGUAGCGGUUCUGACGUGCAAAUCGAUCGUCAAAUUUGGGUAUAGGGGCGAAAGACUAAUCGAACCAUCUAGUAGCUGGUUCCUGCCGAA